ensembl:lncRNA
AUAUAUAUAUAUAUAUAUAUAUAUAUAUAUGCAUGUAUAGCUGUGUGUAUUUAAACUUUGUGUAUAUUGCUUGCUUUGCAGUAUCUUAUUAUCACCACUGGACUCUUUCCGAAAUGGAGGGAAAAGCUUUUAUUAUAAUGUGCAUUUUUAUUGGUAAGUGAAACAAAUGUUAAAACAAAUUAUACAAGAACAACAAUAAUAAUACCCCAAUUCACUUAGACAUAAUAUAUAUAUGUUCAAAAUAUGUACUUUAACAGCACACCAACUUUUUGUCUUCUCUAGCAACAGUCCACGCGCAAAGUUCAACAACUCAGUCCACAGUAGAUUCAACAACCGACACCUCUGCAACACCCACAGCUACAAUGACGUCUUCAACAACCACUACAACUCUUGCUGAAUCAUCCACUACUACUGCAGGAGUUACCACGACAGCACCACAAACUACUUUUACAACAGCUGAAUCCUCCACAACAGCUACAACAACAGCAGAUCCUUCAACAACCACUACAACUAUUGCUGAAACAUCCACUACUACUGCAGGAGUUACCACAACAGCACGACAAACUACUGUUACAACAGCUGAAUCCUCCACAACAGCUACAACAACAGCAGUUCCUUCAACAACCACUACAACUCUUGCUGAAUCAACCACUACUACUGCAGGAGUUACCACGAUACCACCACAAUCUACAGUAACAACAACUGAAUCCUCCACAACAUCAGUUCCCUCAACAAGCACUACAACUCUUACUGAAGCAUCCACUACUACUGCAGGAGUUACCACGACAGCACCACAAUCUACUGUUACAACAACUGAAUCCUCCACAACAGCAGUUCCCUCAACAACCACUACAACUCUUGUUGAAGUAUCCACUACUACUGCAGGAGUUAUCAUGACAGAACCACAAACUACUGUUACAACAGCAGAAUCCUCCACAACAGCUACAACAACAGCAGCAGUGCCCUCAACAACCAUUACAACUGUUGCUGAAUCAUCCACCACUACUGCAGGAGUUACCACAACAGCACCACAAAUUACUGUUACAACAGCAGAAUCCUCCACAACAGCUAGAACAACAGCAGCAACAUCUGAAACACCAGCAACUUCAUCGCCAACAGAACCUGCAGUGUCUACAGCUGCUAUAGCUUCUACUGUAUCUACAGCUUCAACAGCAUCUACAGCAUCAACAGCAUCUACAACCUCUACAGCAUCUACAGCCUCUACAACAUCUACAACCUCUACAGCAUCUACAACCUCUACAGCAUCUACAAUCUCUAAAGCAUCUACAACCUCUACAGCAUCUACAACCUCUACAGCAUCUACAACUUCCAAAGCAACUACUGCAAAAAUAAUACCUGAAGUGCUAACAGAUCUAGUGUUUAGCUCUUUUGAGACAUUUAUAGAUGCACUCAGUGAUGUCAACAGUGAGGAGUUUAAGAUUAGGUCUAAACUUGUCAAGGAUGAGCUUGAGCCUGUCUACAAAAUCAAGUAUUCUAACUUCCUCAGACUGAAUGUCCUAAGAUUCAGAUCAGGGUCAAUCAUCACAUCAACACAACUAGCUUUCAGCUUCAACCAAACUAUCCCAUCUGUUCAAGAGAUUUCAAACACCCUCUUGGAAGCAGUGGGAACAGGGGAUGUCAAUCCAUUAAAGAUAAUCCCUGAAUCAAUUUCAGUCAAUGGUUCAGCUACAACUGUUGCUCCUGCAACAACUACAACAACCACCACAGCAACUACAGUUUCAGGCGGAUUAAAGAUUGAAUCCAGUCUGUUCCAAGCAAUAUGCCUCAUUAUUAUGUCUAAAAUAUUAAGCUUUUUCCUAUAGAUCCCUUAAACAUAUCAACCAAACAUGAGAGUUCAACAAGACACACUGUAACAAAUUAAUUAAACACAAAAUGUAUUUAUUAUUAUUAUUAUUAAAUGUAUAGUAUUUCUCAUUGUAGCACAUUCUCAAAUACUAGUAUUGAGCAACAUAAAGAUAACUUUGAUAAUGCAUUUUUGCUGAAGAAUAUAACAGUAGAUAUCUGUUUAACAGCAGGCUGUUUUCUGGGAGGGAGAAGUAGAUCUUUUUCCUUAUGUAUUUCCUUUAAAUGUAAACAUUGUGAAUGUUGUUUAACUGUUUUGAGGUUAAUACUGUUUAAACUACUUAUUUUUGUUUGUCUAAGUUCUAACAUUGUAAUAUGUAAUAUUUUAAUUAAAUAAAAAUAUUUAUUAAAUGAUGUAGUCCA